UUGGGGUGCUCGAGUGGCGAACGGGUGAGUAACACGUGAGUAACCUGCCCUUGACUUUGGGAUAACUUCAGGAAACUGGGGCUAAUACCGGAUAGGAGCUCCUGCUGCAUGGUGGGGGUUGGAAAGUUUCGGCGGUUGGGGAUGGACUCGCGGCUUAUCAGCUUGUUGGGGGGUAGUGGCUUACCAAGGCUUUGACGGGUAGCCGGCCUGAGAGGGUGACCGGCCACAUUGGGACUGAGAUACGGCCCAG
rnacentral:rRNA from 1 species